rnacentral:rRNA from 1 species
UACGUAGGUGGCAAGCGUUGUCCGGAAUUAUUGGGCGUAAAGCGCGCGCAGGCGGCCUUUUAAGUCUGAUGUGAAAGCCCACGGCUCAACCGUGGAAGGUCAUUGGAAACUGAAAGGCUUGAGUACAGAAGAGGAAAGCGGAAUUCCACGUGUAGCGGUGAAAUGCGUAGAGAUGUGGAGGAACACCAGUGGCGAAGGCGCUUUCUGGUCUGU